UACGUAGGGUGCGAGCGUUGUCCGGAAUUAUUGGGCGUAAAGAGCUUGUAGGCGGUCUGUAGCGUCUGCUGUGAAAAUCCGGGGCUCAACCCCGGACUUGCAGUGGGUACGGGCAGACUAGAGUGUGGUAGGGGAGACUGGAAUUCCUGGUGUAGCGGUGAAAUGUGCAGAUAUCAGGAGGAACACCGAUGGCGAAGGCAGGUCUCUGGGCCACUACUGACGCUGAGAAGCGAAAGCAUGGGGAGCGAACAGG
rnacentral:rRNA from 1 species